AUUAAAUCAAUGAGGAAGAUAAGAAAAUUAGAACUCUAUUUUUAGAGAGGGAUUGUUUGCUGAAAAUAUCCUAAGUAAGAGCUAGUUUUUACCACUUUCAAGUGCCACUGUGAACGAAGUAACUUUCUAACUAGCAGUUGGUCGUUUAGCUAGCGUUAUUAAGCCUAAAGCAAGUUUAAUCCUAUUAAACUUGAAAGCUGGGUGGAACCACGAAUUAUUCGUCCCUUUU
rnacentral:ncRNA from 1 species